AGAAUCAACGCUGGCGGCGUGCCUAACACAUGCAAGUCGAACGAGAAAGUGGGAGCAAUCCCACGAGUAAAGUGGCGCACGGGUGAGUAACACGUGACUAACCUACCCUUGAGUGGGGGAUAACCUAGGGAAACCUGGGCUAAUACCGCAUAAUACCUACGGGUCAAAGGAGCAAUUCGCUUUAGGAGGGGGUCGCGGCAGAUUAGUUAGUUGGCGGGGUAAUGGCCCACCAAGACGAUGAUCUGUA
rnacentral:rRNA from 1 species